GACAUAUACUGUACAAUUUCACUUAAACAUGGACUCUAAAAAACAAAACAAAAACAGGAACAGAUUCUAUAUACAGAAAACAAACUGGUCAUUUCCAGAGGGGAAGGGGAGUGGUAGAAUGGGCCACACAGGUGAAAGGCAUUAAGAGGUAAAAACUUGGGGCGCCUGGGUGGCUCAGUGGGUUAAGCCUCU